AAGCAUCAACAGACACGAGGCGGAGAGAGAAGGGAGAAAGUGAUGCCCACGGCAGUCGAUUGACGACAGUGAGCUGCCGUGCCUUGCGCAUCUCGAUCGAGGGUGACGCUGCCGCUGCUUUCUUCGCCUCCGUAUUCCGCCCUCUGUCUGGUGUAGUCGCCGCUCCGCAGCGGCAGCGGCUUGUGCGCACACAGCGUGUGCAUGCCCAUCUUUUUGUGUGCGUGGGCGUGUCGGCGGCUUCGUUGUAUUCGCUACGCAGCGGCUUGUCUACGCACCUACGCUCAGGUAUGGAUGCGUACGUGCGCGCGUUUUUCCAGGGGUGCGCGUGCGCUUCACUGAUGUGGGCGCAAGCGUGUGGCUCGAGGGUGAAGCCUUGCAUUGCGGUGAAAAGGGAGGGUCGCCCUUAGGCUUGCGUGUGUGUGUGUGAGUGAGUGUGGGUGGGGGAGGGGGGCCGACAGCUGCGAUGCGUGAUGCCACUCAUCCCCUUCCCUCCCUGCCUUUGCGCUCGUUUUCCCAUUGUGGCUCUGCGCGCCCUUCUCCUCCUCCUGUCUGGCGGUGGGCCGUUGUGCUUUCGGAGCCUCCCCGUCUCUCUCCGUCUUCCCCCACUAAGCGCCUCCGUCGUUCCGUGGUACCGACACACACGCAGAAAGAGAGAGCACGCGCGCGCGGCGGGCAGCGCGCCAUCUCUGUGACGGCUUCUCCACUCUAUCUCUGUGUGCUUGUGUAGGUGUCUGCAGAUUGCUGGAGAGCAACAAGGCGAAGGCGCUCGUAGAAAGAGGGAGCUGGGCGACGGUCACGUUAGCCUCUCCUCUGCUUAGCGAGACGGCGCACCGAACUGCCCCACCAAGCUUUCCGCUUCGCUGCCUGUUGUCGCUGCUAGUGCGACGGCAGUAGCACACAAACCGGCGAUUGAGGUGACGGGCGUCGAUGAGGAAUGGGCGGAGAAACGAAAAACAGACAAAAGGAAGAGUAUCUCAGCCUGGUAAGCGUGCCCGCCGCCACCGCCACUACCGUCACGCACAGUCUCCCUGCAAGGAACACAGGUGCCAAACUCAACCCUGCGGGGGGCCCCCCUCCCCUUCCGCCCCCUCCUUCCCCCGCUCCCGCUGUCGGCUCCCCCCUCGCCCCCUUCCCUGCCUCCCCCCUUCUCUCGGCCGCGCUCUGCUCUUCACCGUUGCAGGCGUAGGGAGGCGUAGCUGCGUACGUGUUCGCGAUCAUUUCUUGAGUACCGCCCCCCCCCCACACACACACACACAGGCAUGUGUGGGACCCCACCUUACGCUUCCCCACCUGAAGAUCAGCGGGUGCUCGCUCUUCAUUCUUUCUCCCUCUCAUUCACCGCAUCUUCUCCUCGCCGUUCAACCUGUCUCUCUCUGCCUCUCUGUCCCAUCCGCUCAUUGAGCGCUGGCUCUCACCCCUUCGUGUUGUCCUCCCCCCCCCCGGUUCCUGAUGGCCGCACUCGCAUGUACGUCACCUCAAG
rnacentral:misc_RNA from 1 species